UACGUAGGGGGCUAGCGUUGUCCGGAAUCAUUGGGCGUAAAGCGCGCGUAGGCGGCCCGGUAAGUCCGCUCUGAAAGUCCAGGGCUCAACCCUGGAAAGCGGGUGGAUACUGCCGGGCUAGAAUCCGGAAGAGGCGAGUGGAAUUCCUGGUGUAGCGGUGGAAUGCGCAGAUAUUAGGAAGAACACCAGUGGCGAAGGCGGCCCACUGGUCCGGUACUGACGCUGAUGUGCGAAAGCGUGGGGAGCAAACAGG
rnacentral:rRNA from 1 species